rnacentral:rRNA from 1 species
GACGAACGCUGGCGGCGGGCUUAACACAUGCAAGUCGAACGCAUCCUUCGGGGUGAGUGGCAGACAGGUGAGUAACGCGUGGGAACGUGCCCUUCAGUUCGGGAUAACCCAGGGAAACUUGGGCUAAUACCGGAUACGUGCGAGAGCAGAAAGAUUUAUCGCUGAAGGAUCGGCCCGCGUCUGAUUAGCUAGUUGGUGGGGUAAUGGCCCACCAAGGCGACGAUCAGUAGCUGGUCUGAGAGGAUGAUCAGCCACAUUGGGACUGAGACACGGCCCAAACUCCUACGGGAGGCAGCAGUGGGGAAUAUUGGACAAUGGGCGCAAGCCUGAUCCAGCCAUGCCGCGUGAGUGAUGAAGGCCUUAGGGUUGUAAAGCUCUUUCGUCCGGGACGAUAAUGACGGUACCGGAAGAAGAAGCCCCGGCUAACUUCGUGCCAGCCGCCGCCGUAA